UACGAAGGGGGCUAGCGUUGCUCGGAAUCACUGGGCGUAAAGGGUGCGUAGGCGGGUCUUUAAGUCAGGGGUGAAAUCCUGGAGCUCAACUCCAGAACUGCCUUUGAUACUGAGGAUCUUGAGUCCGGGAGAGGUGAGUGGAACUGCGAGUGUAGAGGUGAAAUUCGUAGAUAUUCGCAAGAACACCUGUGGCGAAGGCGGCCACCUGGUUGGAUACUGACGCUGAGACGCGAAAGCGUGGGGAGCAAACAGG
rnacentral:rRNA from 1 species